AUUAUUUUGGCAGAUAAGUGCAUUAAAUUUAGAAUUUAAUUAUAUAAUUUAUAAAAUUUAUAAAUAAUA
rnacentral:tRNA from 1 species